GAGACACCCCUAUGGAGCAUGACCUGUAUCAGUGGCACUUUGGUGGUCAGUGAGUCUGCCCCUUGAGUGUGUCGCU
rfam:Myotis davidii contig162965, whole genome shotgun sequence.